rnacentral:rRNA from 1 species
ACGCUCGACACCUACGGAAGGCAGCAGUGGGGAAUAUUGCACAAUGGGGGAAACCCUGAUGCAGCGACGCCGCGUGGAGGAAGAAGGUCUUCGGAUUGUAAACUCCUGUCCCAGGGGACGAUAAUGACGGUACCCUGGGAGGAAGCACCGGCUAACUACGUGCUAGCAGCCGCGGUAAUCUGAGCGGGCUGGCAAGGC